rnacentral:rRNA from 1 species
GACGAACGCUGGCGGCGUGCUUAACACAUGCAAGUCGAACGGAAAGGCCCUGCUUUUGUGGGGUGCUCGAGUGGCGAACGGGUGAGUAACACGUGAGUAACCUGCCCUUGACUUUGGGAUAACUUCAGGAAACUGGGGCUAAUACCGGAUAGGAGCUCCUGCUGCAUGGUGGGGGUUGGAAAGUUUCGGCGGUUGGGGAUGGACUCGCGGCUUAUCAGCUUGUUGGUGGGGUAGUGGCUUACCAAGGCUUUGACGGGUAGCCGGCCUGAGAGGGUGACCGGCCACAUUGGGACUGAGAUACGGCCCAGACUCCUACGGGAGGCAGCAGUGGGGAAUAUUGCACAAUGGGCGGAAGCCUGAUGCAGCAACGCCGCGUGCGGGAUGACGGCCUUCGGGUUGUAAACCGCUUUCGCCGGUGACGAAGCGUGAGUGACGGUAAUGGGUAAAGAAGCACCGGCUAGCUACGUG